rnacentral:lncRNA from 1 species
CUGUAUUUUUUUUGUUCCCAGGUACCUGGUAAACUGAGGACUAGAAGUCACUCAAACAAAGGCCUGUUUCCUGUGAUGCUUUUUCCUCCAUGAGUGCAGGGUGAGCACUGGCCACCAGAGAGAGACUGAGCCCACUGUGCUCUGCUGGAGCAUCUGCAGCCAGGAAGAGCCUUCAGAGGGCCUUUGGCCAUUUUCCUGCCACCACACAGUACUGCACCUCCUAUUAGGAGCAUCAUCUCUACUGUCUGAGCUGCUCAUUGACUGGAACCUGCUUCAAGAGCUUCCCAGAUCCUCUCAUUUAUUCUACCACUAUGUCCCAAAUGCUUACCUUGUUCCAUGAGCUGAGUUAGGCCUGGGAACUGCAAAGCAAGAGACCAAUAUGGUCCCUGCCAUCUGAGAGCUCAAAUCUGGAGAAAUAGAAGGACAAGCACUAGAGUAAUAUAACUGGAAGAAAAGACCAAGUGUUAUAACAAAAUAAACACUGGAGCUCUGAGGGAACACUGCAAUCACUACACAAGGCCAUCAGAGAGGUCUCACUGAGGUGACUCAAUGCUUAGAGCUGGUGCCAAGUGGAACCCAGCCUUGCAUAAGGAGGGAAAAUCAACUAUUAAUAGAUUCAAAGGCAGAAGUGAGUUGUCCAGAGAGGAGGUAGGAGGGCAGCCACUGUGGCUGAAGGGCUCCCAGGAGGAGAGAAGGGGAGGGAUGAACCCUGCUGGUGAUUAAGACUGUACAGUGACCCAACACUAUUUGAAGAGUUACCACAAAUGGAACAGAUGUUACAACAAACAUUUGUGGUUUCAUGGUUUUUUUGAAUCAGAAAUGCAGGUGGUCACAGCCAGGGUUUCUGCCAUAUCUGUCAUGAGACUGGGGCCACAUUCUUAGCUGAGGCUAUUAUGGCAAGGUCUGCUUUGAAGCUGAGUCAGAGUUACUGGCAGGACUCACCUAGGACAAGGAAGGCCUCAUUUUUCCUCAUCUGUUGCCCUCUCUGUCCCAAGACUCAUGAGCCUCUCCUUAGGGAGCCAGAGAAGACAGCAGCCGCAUCCCCAGAGCCUGAGAUCCCAGGGAGAGAGGAGAAAGGAAACAACACAUAAAGAAGAGAGAAACAAGAAAGGAGAGAGCAAGAUGUUAGCCGCAGUAAUUUCAUAAGUCAGUCAUGGAGUUGACGCCACAUGAACAUCUGUCAUUGUUUGACAUCACAAGGGAGACAUUAAAUCCAGGUGACACUGAAGAGGAGGUGACUGCUCAGAUGUGCACCCCAGGGUAAGGAAAGCUGGGAGCUGCUAAGCAGGAGGCCCAGCACAUAGGCCUGGCUGGGGCACAUAGGUCUGAAUCUGAAGACCAUGGGAAGCAACUGAAGGCCUAGGGAGAUGAGGAUACCUGCAUUAAUUGCAUUUCAACCCUCUCACCAUGCAGGUGGGGAAAGAAGGCCAAGAAGGAAAACGGCAUUUCCAAAGUCACAAGACAGGAGGCUAGGCCUAUUUUUAGGUCUAUUAUAUAUGAUAUUGCAUCUGUUUCUAUAUUUUAUCUCACUUCUGUGCAUUAUACACAUGUGGCAGCCAGUUUUCUAAGUGCUAUCACACAUGUGACUGUGACAUCACUAGGAAGCAGAUGCUAGGAUGACCCCAUCAUGAAGAGGGAGACUGGGGAAGCCUUGAGAGACCUGAUGAUUUGUCCAGGGUCACAUGAGAGGACAGAAGGAGGAACUGGGUCUAGUCCCAGGUCUGUCUCCUCAGAGCAGGAACCCUGCUGCACCCGAGCCUGUCAAGAGAUGUGGGGGACAGUGUUGGGGUUCCUGUGGACACAUAUGGAAAUGGCAUGGGGCUGGAGGAGAGCCAACAGUAGCCCAGAGGCAGAUAUUAUUUUAUCUGGAGGAGGGGUCAGGUGAGGGACCGCCCCCUGACUUCCUGUCCUUCCUUCCAAACAGAACUUGGAACCCUGUAACCAGGCACCCACAUUCUAGCAACAGCCUCCUCCUUUGACCAAGAAUUAUGUUCUGCUUCUUACCUAGAGGCCAAGGCUCUAGGAGGUCCCACAGCCAGAGCUCCCUCUCUGGCUGAAUGGCCCCUUCUUCAGGCCCCAGCCCCAGGAUUCCCCACAGGCAGAACCUGUUACAAAGAAUGGAAUACUGGUUGAACUCCCACUCCUAUCACUGUUGCCCACGUGCCAAGAGACAAUCAAGGCCUAAACCUCACAGCCCAGGCCAACUGAACACAAGAGAAUCCGCCACUGUGAGUAACCUUGCAAUGCCUUUAUACUGAGUUUGGGGGAACAGGGAGCUGAGGCAGGAUCAGGUGAUGGAAUAUUGUCAUGGUCCUCCCCAGGACAGGGCUGGAAGUGGGGUUUGGGAGUGUUCAGGGUUCAUUCUGAGCCCUCAGUGUCAUCUCCUGUCCUCAUAGGAUAGAACUCUGGGACAUAGGGUCUGUAUGAGGUUUGGUAGAAGAAGGACACAAGGGGCAGAAACAGCCUGAACAGAGG